GAAAGAAGAAAUAAAUAAUACAGUUUAAAGUUAAAUAGCGGGCCAGCUGCACAAGCAGCCAGACAGGAGUUAAAGCAGGCGGGAAGAGAGUCGUCGUGAAAGACCCAGAGUACGCUGGGAGAGUAACAUUAGCAGGCAGGUGGUUAUGAAGCAGACGAGGAGGGGGAAGAGUCGAGGCCACAGGAGUAACGUUACGCUGGUCUACGUGGAGUUUAAUAGGAUUGCUGGUAAGAUCUUGAAAAGGGAAUUUUACGAGACCCUUGACCAACAUAGUACAUGGCACUUGGACAUUUUCAGAGCGAGAACUAGAGUUGCUGGUCAGCUCUUGAUGAACCUUCUGAAGCAACAAAGCUAUCAGAGCCAACUGAAACUGAACUUUGGUGCUUCAAGGACUACCCCUUUGGUUUGGAGAUGACUCCUGCUUUCUUUAAGAUGUGUUUGAUGUCCGAUGAUCACAGCUCAAUUCUUUAUGUGCCAGUGGGGAUUGUGAUAGUUGAAGAUGGGACAAGAUGGGUCUCCCUCUUCGAUUGGAAUCGUAAUCGAGGGAAAAUUAGUGAUGGACAAUCUACAUGACCUUCCUGAAAAAGUCACUGGGAUACAUGUUUGACUUCAUUCAGCGGAUUCUACUUUCCUUGGGGCAGAAAGACCUGCAGCCUAAAACACAAUCGUUGGCAAACCAGCUGUUUGGCUAAAAUCGAGAAAUUGCUUGGCGCACUUUUAAUUGCAACACAUUUACAUUAAACAUGGUCUUUUGAAAAUGAGACUUAAAAAUAUGA